rnacentral:lncRNA from 1 species
GCACUGGUUCCCCCUUAUUUUGCCUGUCGUUGGUUCGGUUUUCGUUCGCUCUUUAGUUGACUCACGAAACGCUACGCGGCGCCACUCGAGUGCUGGGCGACACACAAGUUUCACUUUUGUCUACGUGCUUGCCGAAUGUCUAUCUAUAGUAGAUUCUAUUAUACAUCUUCUUGAAUUGUUUCGAUUCGCUAUUUAAUGGCAUCCAAUUGCUGUAAUUUAUUGAGAUCGGCUCGUUCUUAUGUGCAACACUUGCGAUUUCUGCGCAUAUUUAGGUCGUUACAAACACAGCACAGGAGUAUAAUAUGAAUAGGCAGUUUUGUACGCAACACAAAGUGCGUCGUUGACAGCAGCAGCAGUUGGAAAAUAUUUAGCAAACAACUGCAGCAGCGGGAACGACUGCUGAUAUGGCGCGGGCAAGCUCUAUAUAUUAAAUUAACAUUUAAUUUGAUUACAAACGGCAAUGAUUGUUAUACAUAAGUUUAUAGACCAGCCUAUAUUAUUAGUUCAAUGCCUAUAGACUGCUGACGUCUUGAAAUAUGAUUCGAAUGAUUUAUAUAUUUAGCGACAAAGCCAUGAGCAGCAGGUAACAAUCAAAUUUCUGUUAAGCGAGUGAUGUAUAAUCGGUGCUAUAAUAUGGAUAUAUAGUUUUGCGAGUGCGCAGCAUUAUCAUGUUGAACCCCGUCACUCUAUAUUGUAUAACGAACGACGAAUGAGGAAGAGAAUUACAUGUAUAGAAUGCAUGUGCAUUGAAUAUUAGCCCGUCGUCAUGUCACGUGAGUUGUUUGUGUCAGGUCUGGCUUCUUUCUCGUCUGGUUUUCUAUAUAAUACCUCUUCCAUGUUGAAUUCUUUUUUUAUGCUAGGCCUACUUUCAUUUCCAACGCUCUGCUGGGCGACUAUACAUUGUAAUAUAGUAUAGGCUAUACUCUUACUUAUCUACAGUGUACUUUUUUUUAUAGUUUUAUAUAAUAGUUAACUGUCAGAGGACAAUUUGCUAAUAAGCGUAUUAUAUAUAGGCUACACAAAUAAUCCAAUGUCUUAUACAUGUAUAUUAUCAGUUGAAAUAUAUGGACAACGAAAACUCCCAUGCAUAAUCCAUAAUAUUUCUCGGCUUUUGACUUGUUCUAUAUGGAAACUACUUUACAUAUUGUUGCGCAUGCGAGUGCUAUGGGCAAAGAUUUUUGAGGAAAUAAAUAAAUAUAUAUUAUAUUCCCAGGUUUGAGGGAAUAAAUAAGGAGAAUAUAUGUGAAUAAAAACGAGUUUUAUUUUUCUUAUCUUCAGCACGAUCGCCGCGUGAAAUAUUUUCGCUAUAUAGUUCUAAAUAAGAUUUUUUUCAAAUUCGUUUUGCCCUUUUAAAAAAGAAUAUAAUAGCAACCAGCAGCAACAAAAAAAAUAUAUCCAACAAAUGAAGCGGAGAUACAACGUGUUUUGCAAGAAAACCGGUCGCAAUCGAUAACACUUUUGUUGCAAAAUCUCAAAUGUAUUUUCGUUUUGCAACGCAAAAACGAAGAACUGGACACGAAAACGCCAAAAAAAGCUGCUGCUGCACGUUUCGUGCUGCACCGAAAGCGUUAUCCUAAUCCAAGCAUCACGUAGAAUAUUAUAAUAAUAUUAUAGAGAAUUUGAUAGCAAUUAAAAUUUUCUAAAUUUUCCAAACCGCCGUGACAUAUGAAUAAGACAAAUGUUUUUUGGCAUAGUCACUCGCCGAAUUUCUAUGUGACGUUCGGCUUAUGUUUUUGUUUUCACAUUAGAAGCGUUGCACGUGAAUUGUUGGCGUCCGUCAGCGCAGCAUAUUUCUUUUUUCUUUUUUAUGAAUUGGCAAUGUAAAUGCAGGACAUGGUUGUAUAUAUACGCGUGUCUACAUAGCACAGCGUACAUAGUAUAUAGAUGAGGGAGGGGGAGUAUGUAUAAAUAAGAAGCCCAACUAAAUUCUUGUUACAUGUGCCUCACGUUUCUACUGCUGUGCUGCUGGUGAGAUAGAGCACCUUUUCCUUCUGCACGAACCUGACGAGCAUCACUUUUGGGGCUUUGUUCGGCAGGCGCAGACUUUGACGCUGAUUGGCUGAGCCGGUCUCUUUAUGUAUUGCAUUGCUGUACUGUCACGCUUCCUUGAACUUGAAACGAAAUAUUAUUGUAACCGCCGCUGCUGCUGUCACUCUCUGUCUAUGCAUCAUGCUGAGCGUCUGCAAAAUAUUUAAUUUUUUAAUUUGCGUAUAGACGCUUGAUGAUGACGCGAGUCCAUCGAGGUCUUUCGGCGUUAUAAAUAAUUAACACCGAAGUGUUCAAAAUGAAUGUGACAACUAUAUACUACUUCAAUUAGUUGUUCCUUUGCGCGAUUUAAUAACUCAAAGGGAUCGCAUCAAGUUUACGGGAGAUGCAAAAGCUGGGGGUAUAUAUUAUAACUAAAUAUGCUGAAUUAUUCAAGUACAGACAGACCGUAUAUAGCCUAUAGAGUUUGUUUUUCGUCUCAUUUCAACUGGGUUAAAUAUUUCGAAUUUGCUUUGCCCUUAAUUGAAUCUUGGCAGCACCUAGCCUAUAUUGCGAUCCACUUUCUGCGAAAACGUUCCUGCUGCUGUCCAAUGGCGUCGCUCCAAUCCAUGACUAUUAAUAAUACACAGGCAGCAGCAGCAGGUAUAUAAUGAGGAACAAUUAAGUAUCACAUCCAGCAGCGCUCUUAUUCAAAUGCUGCUGUAACCCUGAUGCAGUGUUAUUAUAUAUAAUAUAGUAGGAUAGAUCCUAAUAUAUAGGCUGUAUACAUACGCAAAACUUUCUCUGUUCACCAAUUCCACCUCUGAUUUCGACUUCCCUUGACAACGUCGGCCUAUAUAGAACUAUACGUAUAUGAACUACAGUUUCAGUCAUGGUGUUAAAUUAAUGAUAUAACGUUAGUAACGCUCCAAUAACACGAAGCUCAUCGAUCCUGUGUAGCUAUUAUGUAUAGGAAUUUCUUUUAUAUUCUAUAUGCUGGAUGCGGCUGGAUGAGUUGAUUAAAAUAUUAAGUUCUUUAGGUUUAUAUCAAGUUUAGGUGUUAUCAAUUUAGUUAAAUAUCAAGUGCAGCACUUAUUGUAUAGAAAUCAAUCAAGAUCUCAAUCUUUAUUUGCUUCGAUCAAAAAAGAAGACGAGAGAGAAGAAUAUUAUAACUAAAUAGCCUCUUAUUAUAUUUCUGUAAUACGUACGACUGCUGAUGCUGUUGGGAAAUCGCCCGCCGCGAAUAAAAUGUUGUCCGCAUUCGUGCAUUCGCUGUAGCAAUCGGCCAAAUGCAUGCAGGUCCGGCAGGUCCUGUUGACCCAUAUAUGGCUAAUAUAUUUUCGACUAAUGCCCGAGCUAAAAAUAAAACUAUCCACAAUUCUAAUCUAAAGGAAACACACACAUAUUACUCAUUCCGGACGCAUAAUUUAUAUUGACAAUGUCCUCCGUGACUUUUUGUGUUUCACGAUUGCGAAUUUUCUCUCUCUAUCCCGAGUGCUUUUCGCAUUCACGUUAUUCACGUACGGCAACAACAACAAUAAAGCGAAAUUCAAAUGAAUGGCGCGCGACAGCGUGGCGGCGCGGUCGUUUCACCGGUCGGCGUCUUGCUGCUGUAGCUAUUUUCGCUGGCCGAAUUUUAUUUUUAGACGCCGAGUACCUAAAAAUAUACCGCGGCUAUUGUUGUUGGUCCAGUCAUUAGGACGAAAAUACACCCACCGCAAACCCCCUUUUUUUGGAAGGGGGUGAUCCACCUCCUCCCGCUUCUAUUUUAUUCUUAUCUCAUCUCCUUUGUUUUUAUUCUUCCCCCGGUUGUGUUUUCGCUGUUGCGCAAGCCGAAGAGAACGAAAAGAAAAGAAGGAAACCGCGUGAUCGAAUGCACAAAUGAUUGCCAUCGGCGGCCAACCGAAAGUUGCAAAGCAGUACAGCAGAGGACAUUCACGUAUGGCCAUCGUCGACCGACACUUUGAUUGAUGGGGGAAGCACUUUAUAACAGUCAGCGAUUGACAACUGGGUGCUGAUGGAAUGCCUCUUGCUGCUCGCAUAUUUCAAGAUAACCAUUUCCCACGAUGCAAGGAGGAAACGUCCAUAUUAUAUUUGUCACGUUAUAGGCCUUCAAGAGGCUGAUUGAAUUCGAUGGUGUUGUGUUAUAGUCGGCAUCCUACUCAGCUGAAGUAAAUGUCGGGUCUAUCUGUAAGUUAUUAAUGUUAUUGUGAAUACAAGGCGGAAUGUUCGA